GACGGGGGGGGCAAGUGUUCUUCGGAAUGACUGGGCGUAAAGGGCACGUAGGCGGUGAAUCGGGUUGAAAGUGAAAGUCGCCAAAAAAGUGGCGGAAUGCUCUCGAAACCAAUUCACUUGAGUGAGGCAGAGGAGAGUGGAAUUUCGUGUGUAGGGGUGAAAUCCGUAGAUCUACGAAGGAACGCCAAAAGCGAAGGACAGCUCUCUGGGUCCC
rnacentral:rRNA from 1 species